rnacentral:rRNA from 1 species
AAUAGAUACCCGGGUAGUCCACGCCGUAAACGUUGGAUACUAGGUGUGGCGGUUAUACCAAUGACUGCCGUGCCGAAGCUAACGCAUUAAGUAUCCCGCCUGGGGAGUACGGCCGCAAGGCUAAAACUCAAAGGAAUUGACGGGUCCCCGCACAAGCGGCGGAGCAUGCGGCUUAAUUCGAUGCAACCCGAAAAACCUUACCUGGGUUUGACAUCACGGGAAAAGCUGUAGAAAUACAGUGUCCAUUAGGGCCCGUGACAGGUGGUGCAUGGCUGUCGUCAGCUCGUGUCGUGAGAUGUUGGGUUAAGUCCCGCAACGAGCGCAACCCUUGUCUCAUGUUGCCAGCACGUGAUGGUGGGGACUCGUGAGAGACUGCCGGGGUCAACUCGGAGGAAGGUGGGGAUGACGUCAAGUCAUCAUGCCCCUUAUGUCCAGGGCUUCACACAUGCUACAAUGGUCGGUACAAAGGGCUGCGAUGCCGUGAGGUUAAGCGAAUCCUUUAAAGCCGGUCUCAGUUCGGAUCGGGGUCUGCAACUCGACCCG